rnacentral:sRNA from 1 species
UUCUGGUGAGUCUAUUAUGCUAUGUUA